ACAAUUGAGAGUUUGAUCCUGGCUCAGGACGAACGCUGGCGGUGUGCUUAACACAUGCAAGUCAACGAGAAUUUAUCUUCGGAUAAUAGUAAAGUGGCGAACGGGUGAGUAACGCGUAAAUAACUUGCCUUGGAGAUUGGGACAACAUUGGGAAACCAGUGCUAAUACCAAAUAAUGCAGCGGGCCCUUCGGGGCAUAGUUGUUAAAGUAGGCUUCGGCUUACACUUCAAGAUAGAUUUGCGUCCGAUUAGUUAGUUGGUAGGGUAAUAGCCUACCAAGACUGAGAUCGGUAGCUGGUCUGAGAGGAUGAUCAGCCACACUGGAAUUGAGAUACGGUCCAGACUCCUACGGGAGGCAGCAGUGAGGAAUUUUGCACAAUGGGCGAAAGCCUGAUGCAGCAACACCGCGUGAUUGAUGAAGUUUUUAGGAAUGUAAAAAUCUGUCGUAAGGGAAGAAAUGUUUCGGAUGUUAAUACCAUCUGUUACUGACGGUACCUUACAAGAAAGGACCGGCUAACUUCGUGCCAGCAGCCGCGGUAAUACGAGGGGUCCUAGCGUUGUCCGGAUUUACUGGGCGUAAAGGGUACGUAGGCGUUUUAAUAAGUUGUAUGUUAAAUAUCUUAGCUUAACUAAGAAAGUGCAUACAAAACUGUUAAGAUAGAGUUUGAGAGAGGAACGCAGAAUUCAUGGUGGAGCGGUGACAUGCGUAGAUAUCAUGAGGAAAGUCAAAUGCGAAGGCAGCCUUCUGGCUCAAAA
rnacentral:ncRNA from 1 species